rnacentral:rRNA from 1 species
AUAGGCGAAAGCCUGACAGGGUUACUCUGAGUGAUUUCCGCUAAGGAAGUCUUUUGGCACCUCUAAAAAUGGUGCAGAAUAAGGGGUGGGCAAGUCUGGUGUCAGCCGCCGCGGUAAUACCAGCACCCCGAGUGGUCGGGACGAUUAUUGGGCCUAAAGCAUCCGUAGCCGGUCCUACAAGUCUUCCGUUAAAUCCAGCUGCUUAACAGAUGGGCCGCGGGAGAUACUACAGGGCUAGGAGGCGGGAGAGGCAAGCGGUACUUUAUGGGUAGGGGUAAAAUCCGCUGAUCCAUAGAAGACCACCAGUGGCGAAGGCGGCUUGCCAGAACGCGCUCGACGGUGAGGGAUGAAAGCUGGGGGAGCAAACCGGAUUAGAUACCCGGGUAGUCC